rnacentral:rRNA from 1 species
CAAGCGGUGGAUGAUGUGGAUUAAUUCGAUGCAACGCGAAGAACCUUUACCUACCCUUGACAUGUCCGGAACUUGCCAGAGAUGGCUUGGUGCCCGAAAGGGAAUCGGAACACAGGUGCUGCAUGGCUGUCGUCAGCUCGUGUCGUGAGAUGUUGGGUUAAGUCCCGCAACGAGCGCAACCCUUAUCAUUAGUUGCUACGCAAGGGCACUCUAAUGAGACUGCCGGUGACAAACCGGAGGAAGUGGGGAUGACGUCAAGUCCUCAUGGCCCUUAUGGGUAGGGCUUCACACGUCAUACAAUGGUCGGUACAGAGGGUUGCCAAGCCGCGAGGCGGAGCCAAUCCCACAAAGCCGAUCGUAGUCCGGAUUGUUCUCUGCAACUCGAGAGCAUGAAGUCGGAAUCGCUAGUAAUCGCAGGUCAGCAUACUGCGAUGAAUACGUUCCCGGGUCUU